rnacentral:rRNA from 1 species
GACGAACGCUGGCGGCGUGCUUAACACAUGCAAGUCGAACGGAAGGACCCUGCGCUUGUGUGGUUCUCGAUUGGCGAGCGGGUGAGUGACACGUGAGUAACCUGCCCUUGUCUUUGUGAUAACAUCACGAAACUGCGGCGCAUACCGCAUAGGAUCUCCUGCUGCACGGUGUGCGUUGGAAAGUGUCGGCGGUGGGGGCUGGAUUCGCUGCUUAUCAGCUUGUUUGUGGAGUAGUGGCUUACCAAGUCUUUGACGGAUAGCCUGCCUGAGAGGUUUGCCGGCCACAUUGGGCCUGAGAUACGGACCAGUCUCCUACGGGAGGCAGUAGUGGGGAAUCUUGCGCAAUGGGCGGAAGCGUGAUGCAGAAACGCCGCGUGCGGGAUGACGGCUUUCGGGUUGUAAACAGAUUUCGCCUGUGACGAAGCGUGCGUGACGGUAAUGGGUAAAGAAGCACCGGCUAACUACGUG